rnacentral:rRNA from 1 species
UAAGGAAUAUUGGUCAAUGGACGCAAGUCUGAACCAGCCAUGCCGCGUGAAGGAUUAAGGUCCUCUGGAUUGUAAAACUUCUUUUAUCUGGGACGAAAAAAGGCGAUUCUUCGUCACUUGACGGUACCAGAUGAAUAAGCACCGGCUAACUCCGUGCCAGCAGCCGCGGUAAUACGGAGGGUGCAAGCGUUAUCCGGAUUCACUGGGUUUAAAGGGUGCGUAGGCGGGCAGGUAAGUCAGUGGUGAAAAUCCUGGAGCUUAACUCCAGAACUGCCAUUGAUACUAUCUGUCUUGAAUAUUGUGGAGGUAAGCGGAAUAUGUCAUGUAGCGGUGAAAUGCUUAGAUAUGACAUAGAACACCUAUUGCGAAGGCAGCUUACUACGCAUAUAUUGACGCUGAGGCACGAAAGCGUGGGGAUCAAACAGGAUUAGAUACCCUGGUAGUCCACGCCCUAAACGAUGGAUACUCGACAUACGCGAUACACUGUGUGUGUCUGAGCGAAAGCAUUAAGUAUCCCCACCUGGGAAGUACGACCGCAAGGUUGAAACUCAAAUGAAUUGACGGGGUCAUAGCUGUUUCCUG